rnacentral:rRNA from 1 species
AUCAUCUGGAAAGAUGAAUCAAAGAAGGUAAUAAUCCUGUAGUCGAAAAUGUUGUCUCUCUUGAGUGGAUCCUGAGUACGACGGAGCACGUGAAAUUCCGUCGGAAUCUGGGAGGACCAUCUCCUAAGGCUAAAUACUCUCUAGUGACCGAUAGUGAACCAGUACCGUGAGGGAAAGGUGAAAAGCACCCCGGAAGGGGAGUGAAAUAGAACCUGAAACCGUGUGCUUACAAGUAGUCAGAGCCCGUUAAUGGGUGAUGGCGUGCCUUUUGUAGAAUGAACCGGCGAGUUACGAUUUGAUGCAAGGUUAAGCAGUAAAUGUGGAGCCGUAGCGAAAGCGAGUCUGAAUAGGGCGUUUAGUAUUUGGUCGUAGACCCGAAACCAGGUGAUCUACCCUUGGUCAGGUUGAAGUUCAGGUAACACUGAAUGGAGGACCGAACCGACUUACGUUGAAAAGUGAGCGGAUGAACUGAGGGUAGCGGAGAAAUUCCAAUCGAACCUGGAGAUAGCUGGUUCUCUCCGAAAUAGCUUUAGGGCUAGCCUCAAGUGAUGAUUAUUGGAGGUAGAGCACUGUUUGGACGAGGGGCCCCUCUCGGGUUACCGAAUUCAGACAAACUCCGAAUGCCAAUUAAUUUAACUUGGGAGUCAGAACAUGGGUGAUAAGGUCCGUGUUCGAAAGGGAAACAGCCCAGACCACCAGCUAAGGUCCCAAAAUAUAUGUUAAGUGGAAAAGGAUGUGGCGUUGCCCAGACAACUAGGAUGUUGGCUUAGAAGCAGCCAUCAUUUAAAGAGUGCGUAAUAGCUCACUAGUCGAGUGACACUGCGCCGAAAAUGUACCGGGGCUAAACAUAUUACCGAAGCUGUGGAUUGUCCUUUGGACAAUGGUAGGAGAGCGUUCUAAGGGCGUUGAAGCAUGAUCGUAAGGACAUGUGGAGCGCUUAGAAGUGAGAAUGCCGGUGUGAGUAGCGAAAGACGGGUGAGAAUCCCGUCCACCGAUUGACUAAGGUUUCCAGAGGAAGGCUCGUCCGCUCUGGGUUAGUCGGGUCCUAAGCUGAGGCCGACAGGCGUAGGCGAUGGAUAACAGGUUGAUAUUCCUGUACCACCUAUAAUCGUUUUAAUCGAUGGGGGGACGCAGUAGGAUAGGCGAAGCGUGCGAUUGGAUUGCACGUCUAAGCAGUAAGGCUGAGUAUUAGGCAAAUCCGGUACUCGUUAAGGCUGAGCUGUGAUGGGGAGAAGACAUUGUGUCUUCGAGUCGUUGAUUUCACACUGCCGAGAAAAGCCUCUAGAUAGAAAAUAGGUGCCCGUACCGCAAACCGACACAGGUAGUCAAGAUGAGAAUUCUAAGGUGAGCGAGCGAACUCUCGUUAAGGAACUCGGCAAAAUGACCCCGUAACUUCGGGAGAAGGGGUGCUCUUUAGGGUUAACGCCCAGAAGAGCCGCAGUGAAUAGGCCCAAGCGACUGUUUAUCAAAAACACAGGUCUCUGCUAAACCGUAAGGUGAUGUAUAGGGGCUGACGCCUGCCCGGUGCUGGAAGGUUAAGAGGAGUGGUUAGCUUCUGCGAAGCUACGAAUCGAAGCCCCAGUAAACGGCGGCCGUAACUAUAACGGUCCUAAGGUAGCGAAAUUCCUUGUCGGGUAAGUUCCGACCCGCACGAAAGGCGUAACGAUUUGGGCACUGUCUCAACGAGAGACUCGGUGAAAUCAUAGUACCUGUGAAGAUGCAGGUUACCCGCGACAGGACGGAAAGACCCCGUGGAGCUUUACUGUAGCCUGAUAUUGAAAUUCGGCACAGCUUGUACAGGAUAGGUAGGAGCCUUUGAAACGUGAGCGCUAGCUUACGUGGAGGCGCUGGUGGGAUACUACCCUAGCUGUGUUGGCUUUCUAACCCGCACCACUUAUCGUGGUGGGAGACAGUGUCAGGCGGGCAGUUUGACUGGGGCGGUCGCCUCCUAAAAGGUAACGGAGGCGCUCAAAGGUUCCCUCAGAAUGGUUGGAAAUCAUUCAUAGAGUGUAAAGGCAUAAGGGAGCUUGACUGCGAGACCUACAAGUCGAGCAGGGUCGAAAGACGGACUUAGUGAUCCGGUGGUUCCGCAUGGAAGGGCCAUCGCUCAACGGAUAAAAGCUACCCCGGGGAUAACAGGCUUAUCUCCCCCAAGAGUUCACAUCGACGGGGAGGUUUGGCACCUCGAUGUCGGCUCAUCGCAUCCUGGGGCUGUAGUCGGUCCCAAGGGUUGGGCUGUUCGCCCAUUAAAGCGGUACGCGAGCUGGGUUCAGAACGUCGUGAGACAGUUCGGUCCCUAUCCGUCGUGGGCGUAGGAAAUUUGAGAGGAGCUGUCCUUAGUACGAGAGGACCGGGAUGGACAUACCUCUGGUGUACCAGUUGUCGUGCCAACGGCAUAGCUGGGUAGCUAUGUGUGGACGGGAUAAGUGCUGAAAG